AGAUUGAACGCUGGCGGCAGGCCUAACACAUGCAAGUCGAGCGGUAGAGAGGUGCUUGCACCUCUUGAGAGCGGCGGACGGGUGAGUAAUGCCUAGGAAUCUGCCUAGUGGUGGGGGAUAACGUUCGGAAACGGACGCUAAUACCGCAUACGUCCUACGGGAGAAAGCGGGGGACCUUCGGGCCUCGCGCCAUUAGAUGAGCCUAGGUCGGAUUAGCUAGUUGGUGAGGUAAUGGCUCACCAAGGCGACGAUCCGUAACUGGUCUGAGAGGAUGAUCAGUCACACUGGAACUGAGACACGGUCCAGGCUCCUACGGGAGCAGCAGGUGGGGAAUAUUGGACAAUGGGCGAAAGCCUGAUCAGCCAUCGCCGCGUGUGUGAAGAGGUCUUCGGAUUGAAAGCUAACGUUUAAGUGGGAGGAAGGACUAAGUUACCUAAUACGUAUCUUGUUUGUACGUUACG
rnacentral:rRNA from 1 species